UGCAGUCGAGCGGAGAUGAGGUGCUUGCACCUUAUCUUAGCGGCGGACGGGUGAGUAAUGCUUAGGAAUCUGCCUAUUAGUGGGGGACAACAUUCCGAAAGGAAUGCUAAUACCGCAUACGCCCUACGGGGGAAAGCAGGGGAUCUUCGGACCUUGCGCUAAUAGAUGAGCCUAAGUCGGAUUAGCUAGUUGGUGGGGUAAAGGCCUACCAAGGCGACGAUCUGUAGCGGGUCUGAGAGGAUGAUCCGCCACACUGGGACUGAGACACGGCCCAGACUCCUACGGGAGGCAGCAGUGGGGAAUAUUGGACAAUGGGCGGAAGCCUGAUCCAGCCAUGCCGCGUGUGUGAAGAAGGCCUUUUGGUUGUAAAGCACUUUAAGCGAGGAGGAGGCUACUUAGAUUAAUACUCUAGGAUAGUGGACGUUACUCGCAGAAUAAGCACCGGCUAACUCUGUGCCAGCAGCCGCGGUAAUACAGAGGGUGCGAGCGUUAAUCGGAUUUACUGGGCGUAAAGCGUGCGUAGGCGGCUGAUUAAGUCGGAUGUGAAAUCCCUGAGCUUAACUUAGGAAUUGCAUUCGAUACUGGUCAGCUAGAGUAUGGGAGAGGAUGGUAGAAUUCCAGGUGUAGCGGUGAAAUGCGUAGAGAUCUGGAGGAAUACCGAUGGCGAAGGCAGCCAUCUGGCCUAAUACUGACGCUGAGGUACGAAAGCAUGGGGAGCAAACAGGAUUAGAUACCCUGGUAGUCCAUGCCGUAACGAUGUC
rnacentral:rRNA from 1 species